GUACAGAGCCCACAUAAGGGCAAGGAAAAACUCACACCCAGUGGGACGUCGGGGACAGUGACAAUGAUGACUAUGAGAAACCUUGGAGAGGACCGCAUAUGUGGAGGUGGGAGGGGCCUUUCCCCAGGUGCAUGUCCUUGAAGGUGGGAGGAGCCUAUCCCCAGGUGCAUGUCUUUGGAGGUGGGAGGAGCUUAUCCCCAGGUGCAUGUCUUUGAAGGUGGGAGGGGCCUAUCCCCAGGUGCAUGUCUUUGAAGGUGGGAGGAGCCUAUCCCCAGGUGCAUGUCUUUGGAGAUGGGAGGAAGCCGGCGUAUCCGGAGAGAUCCCACGCAUUCACGGGGAGAACAUCAAUCACUCAAUGUACUUUAGUGCCAAUAAUUCUGCAUCCAAUGACUGAAGAAGAUCCUUUUUGACACUUUUUGAAGUCAGGAUCCAAACAGCCAAUGAUCUUUUACUUGCUGACAGGUAAUGUCCUCCACAGUGGACUUGUUGAUAUGAGUGUGUUUGUAAGAAAAGUGAAGUAACUUUGAACACAAACUGAUCUUUGCCUUGACGUAAACUGUCUGGGUGGUGCUUUAUGUCUGAACAAUGGACGUCUGGAUUGAAGAUUCUUCAAGAAGAUUUUGGCUUUACUUGCAUUUCCUGCCAUGCAAAGUACGUUUUCUGGGGUGAUUUGUGUCGUGAUUGGCUGGCUGCAGUUUCCUUGGAAACGCUUGGGAUGAAAGUGGUGAGAUUUGCCUGGCAGAAAGCAGACUUUCUUACCCGCGCCAAAUACGUUUUUAUUUGCCAGGGUUUGUUUGUCUGCUCAACUCAAAAAGUUCUGGACAGAUUUGGAUGAAAUGUGCGAAAAGGACAAGGACAAGUCUUCCUGUGUACUACACUUUCCUUCCUGCUUACGCCGUUCUACGCCUGCACCUUGCCACUCCAGUUCUACGCCUCGCACCUUGCCACUCCAGUUCUACGACCGCACCUUGCCACUCUGGUGCUGGCCAGAGAUAUUUUUUGACCUGCACAAGAAUAACGCACCAGAUAUAAAAUCUAGUCUUAGACUUAGAUUGUUACAUCCGGUCUUGGAUUUAGAUGGGUCACAUCUAGUCUUAGACUUAGAUUGUUACAUCUUGUCUUAGACUUAGAUUGGUCACAUCUAGUCUUAGACUUAGAUUGCUACAUCUUGUCUUAGGCUUAGAUUGUUACAUCUCGUCCUAGACUUAGAUUGUUACAUCUAGUCUUAGACUUAGAUUGGUCACAUCUAGUCUUAGACUUAGAUUGGUCACAUCUUGUCUUAGACUUAGACUGGUCUCAUCUAGUCUGAGAAAAGAUUGUCCUAGUUUUAGACUUUGAUUGUUACAUCUCGUCUUAGACUUAGACUGUUACAUCUCGUCUUAGACUUGGAUUGUUACAUCUAGUCUUAGACUUAGACUGGUCACAUCUUGUCUUAGACUUAGACUGGUCACAUCUAGUUUUAGACUUAAACUGGUCACAUCUAGUCUUAGACUUAGAUUGUUACAUCUAGUCUUAGACUUAGAUUGGUCACAUCUAGUCUUAGACUUUUAUUGUUACAUCUAGUCUUACACUGAGAUGGGUUACAUCUAGUCUUGGACUUAGAUGGGUCACAUUUAGUCUUAGAUGGUUCACAUCUAGUCUUGGACUUUGAUUGUUACAUCUAGUGUUAGGCUUUGAUUGUUACAUCUAGUCCUAGACUUAGAUUGGUCACUUCUACUCUUAGACUAGAUUGGUCACAUCUAGUCUUAGACUUAGAUUUUUACAUCUAGUCUAGGACGUAGAUGGGUCACAUCUAGUCUUAGACUUAGAUUGUUACAUCUAGUCUUGGACUUAGAUUGUUACAUUUAGUCUUAGACUAAGAUUGUUACAUCUAGUCUUAGACUUUCAUUGUUACAUAUAGUGUAGGAAUUAGAUUUGUCACAUCUAGUCUUAGACUUACAUUGGUCACAUCUAGUCUUAGACUUAAAUGAGUCACAUCUCGUCUUAGACUUGGACUGGUUUACAUCUAGUCUUAGACUUUGAUUGUUACACCUAGUCUUAGACUUUGAUUGUUACAUCUAGUCUUAGACUUGGAUUGUUACAUCUAGUGUAGGAAUUAGAUUUGUCACAUCUAGUCUGAGACUUAGAUUGGUCACAUCUCGUCUUAGACCUAGAUGGGUCACAUCUAGUCUUAGACUUAGAUUGUUACAUCUAAUCUUAGACUUAGAUUGUUACAUCUAGUCUUAGACUUAGAUUGUUACAUCUAGUCUAAGACUUUCAUUGUUACAUCUAGUGUAAGAAUUAGAUAUGUCACAUAUAGUCUUAGACUUAAAUGGGUCACAUCUCGUCUUAAACUUAGAUUGGUUUACAUCUCGUCUUAGACUUAGACCGGUUUACAUCUAGUCUUAGACUUUGAUUGUUACAUCUAGUCUUAAACUUGGAUUGUUACAUCUAGUGUAGGAAUUAGAUUUGUCACAUCUAGUCUGAGACUUAGAUUGGUCACAUCUCGUGUUAGACCUAGAUGGGUCACAUCUAGUCUUAGACUUAGAUGGGUCACAUCUAGUCUUAGACUUAGAUUGUUACAUCUAGUCUUAGUCUUUCCUUGUUACAUCUAGUGUAAGAAUUAGAUUUGUCACAUCUAGUCUUGGACUAGCUUUUUACAUUUAGUCUUAGACUAAGAUAUGUCACAUCUAGUCUUAGACUUAGAUUUUGUUACAGUUAGUCUUGGACUUAGAUUGUUACAUCUAGUCUUAGACUUUCAUUGUUAUAUCUAGUGUAAGAAUUACAUUUGUCACAUCUAGUCUUAGACUUAGAUUGGUCACAUUUAGUCUUUGACUUAAUCGGGUCACAUCUCAUCUUAGACUUAGACUGAUUUACAUCUAGUCUUAGACUUUGAUUGUUACAUCUAGUCUUAGACUUUGAUUUUUACAUCUGGUCUUAGACUUGGAUUGUUACAUCUAGUGUAGGAAUUAGAUUUGUCACAUUUAGUCUUAGACUUAGAUUGGUCACAUCUAGUCUUAGACUAGAUUGGUCACAUCUAGUCUUAGACUUAGAUUUUUUUACAGCUAGUCUUGGACUUAGAUUGUUACAUCUAGUCUUAGACUUAGAUUGUUACAUCUAGUCUUAGACUUUCAUCGUUAUAUCUAGUGUAAGAAUUAGAUUUGUCACAUCUAGUCUUAGACUUAGAUUGGUCACAUCUAGUCUUAGACUUGAAUGGGUCACAACUCGUCUUAAACUUGGACUGGUUUACAUCUCGUCUUAGACUUAGACUGGUUUACAUCUAGUCUUAGACUUUGAUUGUUACAUCUAGUCUUAGACUUGGAUUGUUACAUCUAGUGUAGGAAUUAGAUUUGUCACAUCCAGUCUGAGACUUAGAUGGGUCACAUCUCGUCUUAGAGUUAGAUGGGUCACAUCUAGUCUUAGACUUAGAUUGUUACAUCUAGUCUGAGACUUAGAUUGGUCACAUUUAGUCUUAGACUUAGAUUGGUCACAUCUAGCCUUAGACAUAGAUUGAUCACAUCUCGUCUUAGACUUAGAUUUAUCACAUCUAGUCUAAGACUUAGAUUGGUCACAUCUCGUCUUAGACUUAAAUUUGUCACAUCUAGUCUGAGACUUAGAUUGGUCACAUUUAGUCUUAGACUUAGAUUGGUCACAUCUAGUCUUAGACUUAGAUUGAUCACAUCUAGUCUUAGACUUAGAUGGGUCACAUCUAGUCUUAGACUUAGAUUGUUACAUCUAGUCUGAGACUUAGAUUGGUCACAUUUAGUCUUAGACUUAGAUUGGUCACAUCUAUCCUUAGACUUAGAUUGAUCACAUCUCGUCUUAGACUUAGAUUUAUCACAUCUAGUCUAAGACUUAGAUUGGUCACAUCUCGUCUUAGACUUAAAUUUGUCACAUCUAGUCUGAGACUUAGAUUGGUCACAUUUAGUCUUAGACUUAGAUUGGUCACAUCUAGUCUUAGACUUAGAUUGAUCACAUCUAGUCUUAGACUUAGAUUAGUCACAUCUAGUUGUGUUUAUCACUACUAUAGGGUGAACCCAUCCUUGCCCAGGCACCCCCUCCUAGUUUUGGAAUAUACAUGUUUGGAGCUGUGAUGAUCUAAUGCCCUGAGAUGAGUGUACUAUGGGAAAUAAAUCAAUAGAUAGAACAAACUGUACCCACUUGUAUUGAUCCAAAUAGGCUCAUUUUAUUACCAAAGUUUUAUAUCACAAAAUAUUUCCAAAAAACGUCUAGGAAUCUACAUUAGUCAAUUUGCCCGCAAAAACAUGUAGUUGUAACCCCCUAAGAUUGUCUAGUUCUUGGCACCUCUCUAUGGUAAAUAAGCUCUCCUAGUGUAUCUCACAGAGUCUCUUCCUUGUUAUAUGAAGGGUUACCAAGUCCAUCGGCCGAGUCUCUCUUUGCCUUUUUGCUGGUCCAACAUCUCCAGAAGAUGAUGGCCGAGACGAGGAGCAGAAGGGCGACUCCUCCACAGACGAUGGCUGCCAAUAUGUUGAAGUCUGAAGACGGAGGAUCAUAGCGCUGGCAGGAGAACUGGGAGGGUGUGCUGUGUCCGGCUUUGUUCACCGCCUCCACACAGACCUUUGUUCCUGCUUCCAGAAACCCCACCGGACUUCGUCGGAAAGCGUUGCCAAAUUCCAGGACUUGUCCGUCUCUUCCUUCCACCACCACCUUGUACUGAGUCACCACGGAAGAAGGAGAACACCACUGCACCUCCACCUUGCCCCGGUUGUCCCCCUCCCUGAUUGGCACCAGGGCUUGGACUCGCGGCGCAUGCGGAGGCGUGUCCGGCCCGCUGACGCCAGGACAGAGACAACCCCUGGUGUCCGCCAGCUGGGCACAGGGCACCUGCUGCUCCGAGCAGGGGUUGAACGGGCAGAGCUCGCGCUGAAGGAAGUGAGUCCUGGUGGUGGCCAGAACCACGGGCGGCACCCGGCUGGCCUGCUCGUCCUCGUCGUAAUAGUCCUCGUAAUCGUCUGCACCGAAGUCUGUGAUGAAUGUGAUCCGUGGACGCGUGAUGGGAGGAGAAGUGGAAGCGCCCUCGGCGUGGAGGCCAGGCCAACUCAUCAGAACAAGGAGAAGCACAUGUAGUGAUGUCAUGUCUGUGGAGGGACAUAUCAGGGUAUCAAUACCAUAGGGACGUGACCAUCAUCAGACAGGGUAUCAAUUCCUUAGGGACAUGACCAUCAUCCUACAGGGUAUCAAUACCAUUGGGGACAUGACCAUCAACAUACACGGUAUCAAGACCAUAGGGACAUGACUAUCAUCCUACAGGGUAUCAAUACCAUAGGGACAUGACCAUCAUCAUACACGGUAUCAAUACCAUUGGGGACAUGACCAUCAUCCUACACGGUAUCAAUACCAUAGGGACAUGACCAUUAUCCUACACGGUAUCAAUACCAUUGGGGACAUGACCAUCAUCCUACACGGUAUCAAUACCAUAGGGACAUGACCAUCAUCCUACACGGUAUCAAUACCAUUGGGGACAUGGCCAUCAUCCUACACGGUAUCAAUACCAUUGGGACAUGACCAUCAUCCUACACGGUAUCAAUACCAUAGGGUCAUGACCAUUACAUACACGGUAUCAAUACCAUUGGGGACAUGACCAUCAUCCUACACGGUAUCAAUACCAUUGGGGACAUGACUAUCAUCCUAUAGGGUAUCAAUACCAUAGGGACAUGACCAUCAUCAUACACGGUAUCAAUACCAUUGGGGACAUGACCAUCAUCCUACAGGGUAUCAAUACCAUAGGGACAUGACCAUCAUCAUACAUGGUAUCAAUACCCUAGGGGACAUGACUAUAUAUCCUAUAGGGUAUCAAUACCAUUGGGGACAUGACCAUCAACAUACACGGUAUCAAUACCAUUGGGGACAUGACUAUGAUCCUAUAGGGUAUCAAUACCAUAGUGACAUGACUAUCAUCCUAUAGGGUAUCAAUACCAUAGGGACAUGACCAUCAUCAUACACGGUAUCAAUACCAUUGCGGACAUGACCAUCAUCCUACAGGGUAUCAAUACCAUAGGGACAUGACCAUCAUCAUACAGGGUAUCAAUACCAUUGGGGACAUGACUAUCAUCCUAUAGGGUAUCAAUACCAUUGGAGACAUGACUAUCAUCCUAUAGGGUAUCAAUACCAUUGGGGACAUGACUAUCAUCCUAUAGGGUAUCAAUACCAUUGGGGACAUGACCAUCAACAUACACGGUAUCAAUACCAUUGGGGACAUGACUAUCAUCCUAUAGGGUAUCAAUACCAUUGGGGACAUGACCAUCAUCAUACACGGUAUCAAUACCAUUGGGGACAUGACUAUGAUCCUAUAGGGUAUCAAUACCAUUGGGGACAUGACCAUCAUCCUACAGGGUAUCAAUACCAUAGGGACAUGACCAUCAUCCUACACGGUAUCAAUACCAUUGGGGACAUGACUAUCAUCCUAUAGGGUAUCAAUACCAUAGGGGCAUGACCAUCAUCAUACACGGUAUCAAUACCAUUGGGGACAUGACCAUCAUCCUACAGGGUAUCAAUACCAUAGGGACAUGACCAUCAUCAUACACGGUAUCAAUACCAUUGGGGACAUGACCAUCAUCCUACAGGGUAUCAAUACCAUAGGGACAUGACCAUCAUCAUACACGGUAUCAAUACCAUAGGGACAUGACCAUCAUCCUACACGGUAUCAAUACCAUUCGGGACAUGACCAUCAUCCUACACGGUAUCAAUACCAUAGGGACAUGACCAUCAUCCUACACGGUAUCAAUACCAUUGGGGACAUGACCAUCAUCCUACACGGUAUCAAUACCAUAGGGACAUGACCAUCAUCCUACACGGUAUCAAUACCAUUGGGGACAUGGCCAUCAUCCUACACGGUAUCAAUACCAUUGGGACAUGACCAUCAUCCUACACGGUAUCAAUACCAUAGGGUCAUGACCAUUACAUACACGGUAUCAAUACCAUUGGGGACAUGACCAUCAUCCUACACGGUAUCAAUACCAUUGGGGACAUGACUAUCAUCCUAUAGGGUAUCAAUACCAUAGGGACAUGACCAUCAUCAUACACGGUAUCAAUACCAUUGGGGACAUGACCAUCAUCCUACAGGGUAUCAAUACCAUAGGGACAUGACCAUCAUCAUACACGGUAUCAAUACCAUUGGGGACAUGACUAUAUAUCCUAUAGGGUAUCAAUACCAUUGCGGACAUGACCAUCAACAUACACGGUAUCAAUACCAUUGGGGACAUGACUCUCAUCCUAUAGGGUAUCAAUACCAUUGGGGACAUGACCAUCAACAUACACGGUAUCAAUACCAUUGGGGACAUGACUAUGAUCCUAUAGGGUAUCAAUACCAUAGUGACAUGACUAUCAUCCUAUAGGGUAUCAAUACCAUAGGGACAUGACCAUCAUCAUACACGGUAUCAAUACCAUUGGGGACAUGACUAUCAUCCUAUAGGGUAUCAAUACCAUUGGAGACAUGCCUAUCAUCCUAUAGGGUAUCAAUACCAUUGGGGACAUGACUAUCAUCCUAUAGGGUAUCAAUACCAUUGGGGACAUGACCAUCAACAUACACGGUAUCAAUACCAUUGGGGACAUAACUAUGAUCCUAUAGGGUAUCAAUACCAUUGGGGACAUGACCAUCAUCCUACAGGGUGUCAAUACCAUAGGGACAUGACCAUCAUCAUACACGGUAUCAAUACCAUAGGGACAUGACCAUCAUCCUACACGGUAUCAAUACCAUUGGGGACAUGACCAUCAUCCUACAGGGUAUCAAUACCAUUGGGGACAUGACUCCUCCAGAAUCCAACAUCUUGUCGACAGAGGGUUGUAAAAGUGACUUUGGAGCAAAAUGGACACUAAAGAAUAUCUAACACAUUUUAUCUUGACCACAAGGAAGGGUUUUAAAUGGUCACAGUUCAUUAGGAAGCAGUGCGGCUUCAUUAACUCGGAGCCGUAUUGAACACCUACACAAAUACAGAGAGUUCUAGCAAAUAUCUCUUUGGUGAGCAAUCGAGCUCCUGUUUGCAGAUCCAUGAUCAAAUAAGAAAAUAUCCCAACAACGGCCAAUCUGCCAGAGGGAAAGUGGCCUCUUUAGUUCCUAUUUGGAAUGGAACAUUUGCAUAAUUCGUCCCACAGACAUAGAAGUAACCUCGUUGUCAUCCAUGGAACUAAAGAUGUACUCAAGAACAGAAGAAUAGAUGUUUUUGUUCCUGUUCCCAUCGUCUCUGAUGGUGCAGGUGCGCACUACACAAUACACACGUUUAUCUCCACAGUUCUUCUCUCCUACAAAAUCAAUAAGACACCAACAUUGGAUUGAUGGAUUUCUGGACUUGAGUCAAUUAACUCCUGGAGUUUUGCCAUAAAAGUUCAAUGGUUUCUGUGGGAACUUGAAUCAAGCAUAAAUAAUGACUGCGUCAACAAGAAUAAAGCACUAAGUUGUUUUGUAAUCAGGCCUCAGCAAAAAAAAAUAGGUUUCCUGUACCUGUGAUGGAGGGUUCCACUUUUCACUCUUUUUCCACACGUUCUCUCGCUGUUGCCUGGUCUUGCGUUCAAGUUCUCUCGCUGUUGCCUGGUCUUGUGUUCACGUUCUCUUGCCGUUGCCUGGUCUUGUGUUCAAGUUCUCUUGCCGUUGCCUGGUCUUGUGUUCACGUUCUCUUUCCGUUGCUUGGUCUUGUGUUCAAGUUUUCUUGCCGUUGCCUGGUCUUGUGUUCAAGUUCUCCUGCCGUUGCCUGGUCUUGUGUUCAGGUUCUCUUGCCGUUGCUUGGUCUUGUGUUCAGGUUCUUUUGCCGUUGCCUGGUCUUGUGUUCAAGUUCCUUUGCCGUUGCCUGGUCUUGUUGUGUUCACGUUGUCUUGCCGUUGCCUGGUCUUGUGUUCAAGUUCUCUUGCUGUUGCUUGGUCUUGUGUUCAGGUUCUCCGGCCGUUGCCUGGUCUUGUGUUCACGUUCUCCGGCCGUUGCCUGGUCUUGUGUUCACGUUCUCCUGCCGUUGCCUGGUCUUGUGUUCACGUUCUCCUGCCGUUGCCUGGUCUUGUGUUCACGUUCUCCUGCCGUUGCCUGGUCUUGUGUUUAAGUUCUCCUGCCGUUGCCUGGUCUUGUGUUCACGUUCUUCUGCCGUUGCCUGGUCUUGUGUUCACGUUCUCCUGCUGUUGCCUGGUCUUGUGUUCACGUUCUCCUCCCGUUGCCUGGUCUUGUGCUCUGACUGUGCAAAGAAUCUCCUCAACAUCCCCUCUUGUUCUCCCCUUGGUGCCUCUCCCUCCCCCUUUCAAUCCCACAUGGCGCUGAGCACUAUUUAUUCCCUCUGCUCUCUUUCUCAACAUGCUUCAAGGCACCAUCACACUUUUAUAUGCUUAAAAAUAAGGAAUGUAUGUGUUUGGGGCGUGUAGUGUCACCGUCUGCUGCUCGCCGUAUGAAGAGAGAAGUUGCUUGUUUUGUUUUUAUUUUAUUUUGUUUGCUAUUGAAGCCGUGGUAAAAACUU